rnacentral:rRNA from 1 species
UACGGAGGGAGCUAGCGUUGUUCGGAAUUACUGGGCGUAAAGCGCACGUAGGCGGCUUUUUAAGUCAGGGGUGAAAUCCCGGGCUCAACCCCGGAACUGCCCUUGAAACUGGAGAGCUAGAAUCUUGGAGAGGCGAGUGGAAUUCCGAGUGUAGAGGUGAAAUUCGUAGAUAUUCGGAAGAACACCAGUGGCGAAGGCGACUCGCUGGACAAGUAUUGACGCUGAGGUGCGAAAGCGUGGGGAGCAAACAGG